CUCCGCCCCAGGCAGCACCAACCUGGGGUGCGAGACCAGCCUGCGGUGCUGGGCUUCCAGGAGCUGCUGCUGCAGGAGGUAUUGCUGGUGCAGGGCCUGAGGAAAGAAAUGCCUGAAGAAGAGUUAAAAGCGCACUGCGGUUGAGGGAUUUUGCCUCUGGUGUGGAGGGCAAAGGGCAGACCGAAGCUGCUUGGCUCAAUGUGUCUUAUGCUAGUCUAUUCAGCCUUGUAUAUUACGUGCAUGUCACUGAUCAAUUUUUAAAAAUAAAUCUUUGCAAAAAGAAA